GGAACGAAAAGCCUCUUUCUAAUAAAGGGGGGUGAUGACGGUACCGUAAGAAUAAGCACCGGCUAACUACGUGCCAGCAGCCGCGGUAAUACGUAGGGUGCGAGCGUUAAUCGGAAUUACUGGGCGUAAAGCGUGCGCAGGCGGUUUUGCAAGACAGUGGUGAAAUCCCCGGGCUCAACCUGGGAACUGCCUUUGUGACUGCAAGGCUGGAGUACGGCAGAGGGGGAUGGAAUUCCGCGUGUAGCAGUGAAAUGCGUAGAUAUGCGGAGGAACACCGAUGGCGAAGGCAGUCCCCUGGGCCUGUACUGACGCUCAUGCACGAAAGCGUGGGGAGCAAACAGGAUUAGAUACCCUGGUAGUCCACGCCCUAAACGAUGUCAACUGGUUGUUGGGAAUUUAUUUCUUCAGUAACGAAGCUAACGCGUGAAGUUGACCGCCUGGGGAGUACGGCCGCAAGGUUAAAACUCAAAUGAAUUGACGG
rnacentral:rRNA from 1 species